rnacentral:rRNA from 1 species
AGGGUUUGAUUAUGGCUCAGGACGAACGCUGGCGGCGUGCCUAAUACAUGCAAGUAGGACGCACAGUCUAUACCGUAGCUUGCUACACCAUAGGCUGUGAGUUGCGAACGGGUGAGUAACGCGUAGGUAACCUGCCUAUUAGAGGGGGAUAACUAUUGGAAACGAUAGCUAAUACCGCAUAACAGUAUGUAACACAUGUUAGAUGCUUGAAAGAUGCAAUUGCAUCGCUAGUAGAUGGACCUGCGUUGUAUUAGCUAGUAGGUAGGGUAAAGGCCUACCUAGGCAACGAUACAUAGCCGACCUGAGAGGGUGAUCGGCCACACUGGGACUGAGACACGGCCCAG